GAUCCUCACCUCUUCUGAGAAGCAGAGUAGCGUGAGCAGGACUUGCCGUCCCAGGCGCAGUAGGGGUCGCGGGCCAGGCAGCAGUCGGCGCAGGCCUCGCCGUACACGUCACAGCGAUGCAGGGCCAGGACCAGCUCCUCAGUCUGCAAGUCAUCUCUGGGCAGAACGAUCACCUUCUGAACCGUUCCUCGAUCUGUGCAGUGCACACCAGCAGAGCACAGUGAGCCAUUUUAGCCCUUAAAGUCUGACACCUUUCCUUUGGCAUGCACUUGAACAUACAAUAUCUGUGAUGCAGGGUGGCCUUAAGAAGACAUCAAACUAAAGUUGGCCUGUCCUUUAAUGACAGCCCAUGAUAGAACAAAACAUUCCAUUACUUUAAGAUACAUUCUGGUCCAUCACACAGAAUCCAUUAGUCUUUGAUUAAACAUAGUCCUGGUUCAACAUGAUAGACAAGACACAAAAAAAGAGACAAUUCAGAAGGACAUGUGUUCAGUAGAAGUGAUGUCAUAUCGCCCGUAACAGGUUCAAACAGAACAAAAGGAAUUAUUUAGCAGCAGAAAUAGGAAGACGAAAGACACUCAGAUUUGCUCAUAACAUCUUACUGCUUUCUUUCUUAACAAAUGACGUGAGUGAAAGGGCUUUUAAAAAUUUGUAAGCCAACCAUACACUUUUUAAGGAGAAACAUGUUCUUCCCACUGAAAAAGCCUCUUGUUUUGACUUUGUGGAAUCAAAAUUCUCAGGGCGUGACGGCAAUGGGGGCCACCUUAAACCUCCCAGUUACUUUUCCACAGUCACGCUACGUCCUGAGAUUGGGCUCUACAUUCAUGUUUCAAAGGAGACCGAUUAUCCGACGGAAUCAAGCUGCAAAGAGAUACCGGGUUCCAUUGUGAAAUCACAUUUAAUAACUAAGGCUGAAUUUUCAGAUUUGUUAAGAUAACUCCAUAAUGGGCUACUGCAUCUGGCUGCUUUGACAGAUAUUCAAGUUUUUUUUGUCCCUCAGAAUUCAAGCUUCCUGUGAUUGACUUUUCACAAAGAACUACAGUUGGCAGAAACCUAUUUGUUUAUAUUCAGGAUGUUUUGCCACUGCAAGAAAGCGAUCAGGCCCUUGGAAAUUGGCUACACUGCAUCUUUGGGUUUGUGGUUUCGUAUCUUUUUUCCAGUAUGUAAAAAAAACAGGAAUAAUAAGCAAACUGUUAUUCACUUUGAGGGUAAGUUUGAUGGUAAAAUGUAUAUGUUGUUCCUUGAGGUACAAGGAAAGAACCAGUCUCAAAAAUAACCAGUUACUUUCACAAUAUUUUCAUGCUGUGAUCUAAACGCAGAACCUUGCAAUAAUAUUUUUUUCUGAUCUCCAAAUUAACCCCAAAAGCAUGGCAUUUCUUAAAGUGGUGCGUUAAACAAAGGGAACUUUCACACUUUCCUGCCUGCUUUAGCAACUCUAUUCAAUCCCCAUAGUUCACUGUGACAUUUUCAUGUUCCUUAUCCCUGUUAGCAUGAUACUAAUACAGGACACAUUUUAAUUUGCACAAUAAAAUUUCAGUUUUCAUUUACUAAUUUAAUUUACUUAAAAGAUCAAGAAGAGAUUUAAAGUUUAAGUGUGUAUGUGUGUGUUUGUGCUGGAGGGCUGCUGUGACUGACAGCUGUCACUUCAAUACUGUAUGUUGCUUCUGGAGUGGUUCAAUCGCAUUUGAGCUAUUUUUUAGUUUAAUCUGGUUAUUGUCUCAGUUGAUGAAAAGCUGCCAAUCAGAAUAAUACAACGUUAAGAGAGGUGGUCCAAUAUGACUAGAUGAGGUAAUCUGCCCAUAAUCAUUUAGUUUGGCUCUAAUGGUGUAAGUAAAUAUUACUUUACCUGAAGCCUUCAAUAUAAUAAAAAGUGUGAUUCAUGUAAAACAAAUAAAGGCAAAGAAGAUUGAAUGAAUCCUUUCCAGAGAAAACAGCAAUUUCUUGUUUUUAUGUCUUGAAGAGAGCAGAAAUAAAAAAGUGUAGCAAACACUACAAAUUGCAGCUGGAGAGAGUGAUAACUGACCUGUCCCCAGGAAAAGCACCUCAUAGCUCCCAUCUGCAGCUGUCACCUGGUCCACCGUGAUGGUGGUGAACUCAUAGUCUACGUUUGUCCUCACCACCAGGGGGCGCUUGUGCACCGGGUACACAGCAUUGUACAUGGUCGGGUGGUUCCGCAUGAAGUUGAUGACUUCGUCAGGGUAAUCCUUGGUGGACUUCAUGUUUGGUGUGAAUGUCCCUCCUGGGCACUGCAAGAAAGAGUACACAAGCAAAGUGGUCAUUUACCAUCACCAGAGCAACCAGAUCUCAUUGCAAUAUGGACACCAUUUUUCUGACCCCAAAACUAGUAUUUCUGUUGCAAUAGUGUCUCAUCACAACAUUUGUUUACACUCUGUGAUUAUUUCUGAAAUAAUCAGCUACAAAGAUGAGACAACAUGAUGUAAUUUGAUCAAACUAAAGUACAAUACACAGCAAUCCCCAAGAGGUGACUGCCCACAUCUAAAAAAGCCUCACUGAAUCACACUGAGAAAUUCUGUUAAUAACUUAGCAAUGUUUACUCAUACCUAAUCUUUAAUCAGACCAGAUAUAAAUAGUGUUAAGUGCCAUAAUUCAAUCUACUGCAGGUGAAAGCAUUUCUUGAGUCGAGAUGUGAAUCACCUCGCUCAGGAGAUAUUGAUGGAGGUGGUGCUGUCAUGUGCAGCUGAGGAAACUAGGAUAGCAGUGUUUCCCAUACAAUUAGUUUGUUUGGACAGCCCACCCAAAUAUAUUUCCCCCCGCCCAAAAAGAUUUUUCAGUAUUUAGUUGCUUAUUUCUAUAAGCAAACCACUAUACUUUUGUAUUCGUUAUUUUUUCUUUUAAAUGUCAAAGUGACAUACAGCCGACUAGUUUUGCUGCAGGAUAGUAUGAUAAGUCUGGAAAUAUCAAACUUUAGGAUUUUGACGUUCCAUAUCAUAACAUUUUUUCAUUGCAACUAUAUUAAUUUUAAUGUGUUUUAAAGUAAUUUAAUAUAUUUAAUCUGCUCUCUAGAAACUAGACACAACAAAGAGCAUUUCCACUAAUUUAGUACAAGAAAUGACUGAUAAAACCAUGCAGUUCUAAACUUUCUAUAUGUGGAGUGGAAACAGGGGUGUGGCAGUGACUUACUGUCCCAGGCCGGGGGUAUGGGAUCUUCCCAGUGUAGGCCACCCACUGGUAGUUGGGCCCCUCCUUGUGAGCGAAGGGCCCAUUGAACACCAUUCGGAUGUCUGCCAUGGAAUAGACGCACACUGCAGAGCCUUUGAACACCGACCUGGAGAGGAAGAAAGUGCUGUCAGCAAGGCAUGGACUGCAUCAGUGUGAUGUAAUGCAAUGGAGAACAGACACUAAUUACAGAGGGAGUCUACAGGGAGAGGGGGUGUCAAAUAAAUCCAUGUUGUGAACAAA